UACGUAGGUGGCAAGCGUUGUCCGGAUUUACUGGGCGUAAAGAGCGCGCAGGCGGUCGUUCAAGUCGCGUGUGAAAGCCCCCGGCUCAACUGGGGAGGGUCACGCGAUACUGGUCGACUCGAAGGCGGGAGAGGGUAGUGGAAUUCCCGGUGUAGUGGUGAAAUGCGUAGAUAUCGGGAGGAACACCAGUGGCGAAGGCGACUACCUGGCCUGUUUCUUGACGCUGAGGCGCGAAAGCUAGGGGAGCAAACGGG
rnacentral:rRNA from 1 species